ACUCCUACGGGAGGCAGCAGUGGGGAAUAUUGCACAAUGGGCGCAAGCCUGAUGCAGCCAUGCCGCGUGUGUGAAGAAGGCCUUCGGGUUGUAAAGCACUUUCAGUCGUGAGGAAGGUAGUGUAGUUAAUAGCUGCAUUAUUUGUACGUUAGCGACAGAAGAAGCACCGGCUAACUCCGUGCCAGCAGCCGCGGUAAGUACGGAGGGUGCGAGCGUUAAUCGGAAUUACGUGGGCGUAAAGCGCAUGCAGGUGGUUUGUUAAGUCAGAUGUGAAAGCCCGGGGCUCAACCUCGGAAUAGCAUUUGAAACUGGCAGACUAGAGUACUGUAGAGGGGGUAGAAUUUCAGGUGUAGCGGUGAAAUGCGUAGAGAUCUGAAGGAAUACCGGUGGCGAAGGCGGCCCCUGGACAGAUACUGACACUCAGAUGCGAAAGCGUGGGAGCAAACAGGAUUAGAUACCCCUGGUAGACUGUCAU
rnacentral:rRNA from 1 species